UACGUAGGGGGCAAGCGUUGUCCGGAAUCAUUGGGCGUAAAGCGUGCGCAGGCGGCUUUGCAAGACAGAUGUGAAAUCCCCGGGCUUAACCUGGGAACUGCAUUUGUGACUGCAUGGCUGGAGUGCGGCAGAGGGGGAUGGAAUUCCGCGUGUAGCAGUGAAAUGCGUAGAUAUGCGGAGGAACACCGAUGGCGAAGGCAAUCCCCUGGGCCUGCACUGACGCUCAUGCACGAAAGCGUGGGGAGCAAACAGG
rnacentral:rRNA from 1 species